CCUACGGGAGGCAGCAGUGGGGAAUCUUGCGCAAUGGGCGAAAGCCUGACGCAGCAACGCCGCGUGCGGGAAGAAGGCUUUCGGGCUGUAAACCGCUUUCAGCAGGAACGAAAAUGACGGUACCUGCAGAAGAAGGAGCGGCCAACUAUGUGCCAGCAGCCGCGGUGAUACAUAGGCUUCAAGCGUUGUCCGGAUUUAUUGGGCGUAAAGAGUUCGUAGGCGGUCGAGUAAGUCGGGUGUGAAAAUUCUGGGCUCAACCCAGAGACGCCACCCGAUACUGCUUGACUUGAGUUCGAUAGGGGAGUGGGGAAUUCCUAGUGUAGCGGUGAAAUGCGCAGAUAUUAGGAGGAACACCGGUGGCGAAGGCGCCACUCUGGAUCGAUACUGACGUUGAGGAACGAAAGCAUGGGUAGCAAACAGGAUUAGAUACCCUGGUAGUCCAUGCCGUAAACGGUGGGCACUAGGUGUGGGUUUCUAUUAACGAAAUCCGCGCCGUCGCUAACGCAUUAAGUGCCCCGCCUGGGGNGGUACGGUCGCGAGACGUAAACGUUAAAGUAGUAGUAGUAACGUGUGAGAGUCGACGACGACGACGACGGAGGAGGAG
rnacentral:rRNA from 1 species